rnacentral:rRNA from 1 species
AGAGUUUGAUCCUGGCUCAGAUUGAACGCUGGCGGAAUGCUUUACACAUGCAAGUCGAACGGUAGAGGGGGCAACCCCUUGAGAGUGGCGAACGGGUGAGUAAUAUAUCGGAACGUGCCCAGUCGUGGGGGAUAACGUAGCGAAAGUUACGCUAAUACCGCAUACGAUCCAAGGAUGAAAGCGGGGGACUCGCAAGAGCCUCGCGCGAUUGGAGCGGCCGAUAUCAGAUUAGGUAGUUGGUGGGGUAAAGGCUCACCAAGCCAACGAUCUGUAGCUGGUCUGAGAGGACGACCAGCCACACUGGAACUGAGACACGGUCCAGACUCCUACGGGAGGCAGCAGUGGGGAAUUUUGGACAAUGGACGCAAGUCUGAUCCAGCCAUUCCGCGUGCAGGAUGAAGGCCCUCGGGUUGUAAACUGCUUUUGUACGGAACGAAACGGCGCGCUCUAAUAAAGUGCGCUAAUGACGGUACCGUAAGAAUAAGCACCGGCUAACUACGUGCCAGCAGCCGCGGUAAUACGUAGGGUGCAAGCGUUAAUCGGAAUUACUGGGCGUAAAGCGUGCGCAGGCGGUUUUGUAAGACAGGCGUGAAAUCCCCGGGCUUAACCUGGGAAUUGCGCUUGUGACUGCAAGGCUAGAGUACGGUAGAGGGGGGUAGAAUUCCGCGUGUAGCAGUGAAAUGCGUAGAUAUGCGGAGGAACACCGAUGGCGAAGGCAGCCCCCUGGACCUGUACUGACGCUCAUGCACGAAAGCGUGGGGAGCAAACAGGAUUAGAUACCCUGGUAGUCCACGCCCUAAACGAUGCUGACUAGUUGUUCGGGAUUUACAUCCUGAGUAACGUAGCUAACGCGUGAAGUCAGCCGCCUGGGGAGUACGGUCGCAAGAUUAAAACUCAAAGGAAUUGACGGGGACCCGCACAAGCGGUGGAUGAUGUGGAUUAAUUCGAUGCAACGCGAAAAACCUUACCUACCCUUGACAUGUCACUAACGAAGUAGAGAUACAUUAGGUGCUCGUAAGAGAAAGUGAACACAGGUGCUGCAUGGCUGUCGUCAGCUCGUGUCGUGAGAUGUUGGGUUAAGUCCCGCAACGAGCGCAACCCUCAUCCUUAGUUGCCAGCGGUUCGGCCGGGCACUCUAAGGAAACUGCCGGUGACAAGCCGGAGGAAGGCGAGGAUGACGUCAAGUCCUCAUGGCCCUUAUGGGCUGGGCUACACACGUGCUACAAUGGCAGUGACAGUGGGACGCAAGACCGCGAGGUGGAGCAAAUCCCCAAAAACUGUCUCAGUUCGGAUUGUACUCUGCAACUCGAGUGCAUGAAGUUGGAAUCGCUAGUAAUCGCGGAUCAGCAUGCCGCGGUGAAUACGUUCUCGGGCCUUGUACACACCGCCCGUCACACCAUGGGAGUUGGCUUUACCCGAAGCCGGUGCGCUAACCGCAAG